rnacentral:rRNA from 1 species
CGCAGCAAACGCAUUAAGUGCCCCGCUUGGGAGUACGGCCGCAAGGCUAAAACUCAAAGAAAUUGACGGGGCCCGCACAAGCGGCGGAGCAUGCGGAUUUAUUCGAUGCAACGCGAAGAACCUUACCAAGGCUUGACAUGCACCGGUAACACUCAGAGAUGGGUGCCCCGCAAGGUCGGUGCACAGGUGGUGCAUGGUUGUCGUCAGCUCGUGUCGUGAGAUGUUGGGUUAAGUCCCGCAACGAGCGCAACCCUCGUCCCAUGUUGCCAGCGGGUUAUGCCGGGGACUCAUGGGAGACUGCCGGGGUCAACUCGGAGGAAGGUGGGGAUGACGUCAAAUCAUCAUGCCCCUUAUGUCUUGGGCUUCACGCAUGCUACAAUGGCCGGUACAAAGGGCUGCGAUACCGCGAGGUGGAGCGAAUCCCAAAAAGCCGGUCUCAGUUCGGAUUGGGGUCUGCAACUCGACCCCAUGAAGUCGGAGUCGCUAGUAAUCGCAGAUCAGCAACGCUGCGGUGAAUACGUUCCCGGGCCUUGUACACACCGCCCGUCAAGUCAUGAAAGUCGGUAACACCCGAAGCCGGUGGCCCAACC